rnacentral:rRNA from 1 species
AUGAACGCUGGCGGCGUGCCUAAUACAUGCAAGUCGAGCGAACAGACGAGGAGCUUGCUCCUCUGACGUUAGCGGCGGACGGGUGAGUAACACGUGGAUAACCUACCUAUAAGACUGGGAUAACUUCGGGAAACCGGAGCUAAUACCGGAUAAUAUAUUGAACCGCAUGGUUCAAUAGUGAAAGACGGUUUUGCUAUCACUUAUAGAUGGAUCCGCGCCGCAUUAGCUAGUUGGUAAGGUAACGGCUUACCAAGGCAACGAUGCGUAGCCGACCUGAAAGGGUGAUCGGCCACACUGGAACUGAGACACGGUCCAGACUCCUACGGGAGGCAGCAGUAGGGAAUCUUCCGCAAUGGGCGAAAGCCUGACGGAGCAACGCCGCGUGAGUGAUGAAGGUCUUCGGAUCGUAAAACUCUGUUAUUAGGGAAGAACAAAUGUGUAAGUAACUAUGCACGUCUUGACGGUACCUAAUCAGAAAGCCACGGCUAACUACGUG